GACGAACGCUGGCGGCGUGCUUAACACAUGCAAGUCGAACGGAAAGGCCCUGCUUUUGUGGGGUGCUCGAGUGGCGAACGGGUGAGUACCACGUGAGUAACCUGCCCUUGACUUUGGGAUAACUUCAGGAAACUGGGGCUAAUACCGGAUAGGAGCUCCUGCUGCAGGGUGGGGGUUGGAAAGUUUCGGCGGUUGGGGAUGGACUCGCGGCUUAUCAGCUUGUUGGUGGGGUAGUGGCUUACCAAGGCUUUGACGGGUAGCCGGCCUGAGAGGGUGACCGGCCACAUUGGGACUGAGAUACGGCCCAGACUCCUACGGGAGGCAGCAGUGGGGAAUAUUGCACAAUGGGCGGAAGCCUGAUGCAGCAACGCCGCGUGCGGGAUGACGGCCUUCGGGUUGUAAACCGCUUUCGCCUGUGACGAAGCGUGAGUGACGGUAAUGGGUAAAGAAGCACCGGCUAACUACGUG
rnacentral:rRNA from 1 species